rnacentral:rRNA from 1 species
AUUGAACGCUGGCGGCAGGCUUAACACAUGCAAGUCGAGCGGAGAUGAGGUGCUUGCACCUUAUCUUAGCGGCGGACGGGUGAGUAAUGCUUAGGAAUCUGCCUAUUAGUGGGGGACAACAUUCCGAAAGGAAUGCUAAUACCGCAUACGUCCUACGGGAGAAAGCAGGGGAUCUUCGGACCUUGCGCUAAUAGAUGAGCCUAAGUCGGAUUAGCUAGUUGGUGGGGUAAAGGCCUACCAAGGCGACGAUCUGUAGCGGGUCUGAGAGGAUGAGCCGCCACACUGGGCCUGAGACACGGCCCAGACUCCUACGGGAGGCAGCAGUGGGGAAUAUUGGACAAUGGGGGGAACCCUGAUCCAGCCAUGCCGCGUGUGUGAAGAAGGCCUUAUGGUUGUAAAGCACUUUAAGCGAGGAGGAGGCUACUGAGACUAAUACUCUUGGAUAGUGGACGUUACUCGCAGAAUAAGCACCGGCUAACUCUGUGCCAGCCGCCGCAGUAACAC